GUCAAGUUUGGGCUAUGCUAAUACUUGAUUCUAACUUGAACAGAACAUGCGUGAGUUGAAAUACUGGCCCUUGCUCUUGCCUCUUGACAGGGCAUGAAAAACCCAUCCAAUUUAGGUUGGGUAGAGGCAAAUAUUCACAUGUCGAGCAUAAAUUGCCUACUUAUUGUUGAUGUUUGUGACUAAAUCAUUCAUGCAUCACACAUUUGCACAAAGUAGUUUUGACUGAUAGAACAAUGUGAGUUCAGAAAAGGCUCCUCUUUUUUGUUCUUUAAAUGAUGAAUCUUCAUUAUUGAAAAUGAAGACGUUUCUCAGGGCUGCCCUGAUUGCAAAAUUGCAAAGGUACCAUAGGCAUGGGAAAAAAAAUUAUAUCUAUUGUAUCAAUUCAUUUAGUUUCUUAGUUGAAUAUUAAGCCGCGCAAUAGUAAAUGAAAUUUUAGGAGGCCACUCCAUUUACAUAUUGUGAAUCUACAUGUAUUCAGGAAAAUUGUUUUAAUGCAGAUUAGUGAGUGUGCAGUUAAUUCUAAAAAAAUAUUUGGCCAAGUUUAUUUAUCUUAAUAAAUAGAAGUGAUGUUAUAUUCUUGUUUAAGCUUGAAAAAAAAAAAAAAGAGAUCACACAUGGAGUAUUUGAAAGUUGAAGCAUAGGCAAUGGCUAGUUAUGGAUGUACUGUAAUUUGAUGCUGACUUGUUCAUUCCAAUGCAUAUUUUUUUUUCUUUUUACUUUUUGGUAAGCAAUGUGAAGGGAAUUCUCUUCCUCUUCCUCCUCCUUCCGUUUGUUCUUUCCAUUGUUUUGUUUCAUGGUUCUGGAUUUCAGCUUCUUCCAGUAUUGUUAAUUUUAGAUUCAGGAUUGUCACAUAUGCAUAAAGCUUUUUCAAUUCUCAUGAAUCAUUGAAAUAUUUUUGUAGCUUUGGUAUGCUUGGGUAUCAUUUGACUAGCAUCUCAUUGAAUUCUAUGGUGUCAAAUUGACCUGAUUAUUUUAAUUGCCCUGCCAGAUCUGAUACUGGGGAUUCUGUGUGCAUAAUAGCCUCAUGACUUCUUCCAUGCAUGAUCUUUCAGAUAAUAGUGAGACAAAUGAGCAGCAGAAACACUCAGAAUCUCAGAUUCUGUAUUCAUCUGCUGCAGCUGCACUGGUGCACCCUGGGAUGUCAAACACAAAUGUUCAGUAUGCAACAAGUCCGCAACUUGGUUCAGGGCACGCAAUGGCGGCAGCAGCAGCUUACCCAUACUCGGAUCCAUACUAUAGAAGCAUUUUUGCUCCCUAUGAUGCUCAGCCAUAUCCUCCACAGCCCUAUGGUGGACAACCAAUGGUCCAUCUUCAGUUAAUGGGAAUUCAGCAAGCUGGAGUUCCUUUGCCAUCAGAGGCAGUUGAGGAACCUGUAUUUGUCAAUGCCAAACAAUAUCAUGGCAUCUUAAGACGUCGACAAUCCCGUGCAAAAGCUGAAUCAGAAAACAAGGUCAUCAAAUCUCGGAAGUCAUACUUGCAUGAAUCUCGACAUCUACAUGCAUUGAGAAGAGCUAGAGGAUUGGGGGGUCGGUUUCUCAAUUCCAAGAAGAAUGGGAAUCAACAAGAGAAAGAAGAUUCACCAAGUGACAAAUCACAAUCCAAUAUCAAUCUUAACUCUGAUAAAAAUGAUAUUGCUUCGUCGGAUAGCAAGUCUUGAUAUAAAGCAAGUUGGUGGGGCACACACUGGGACCACAGAUCUUCCAAGAGGGCCAUCCCCUAAUAGUCAGUAUUGCUUCACUCUUGUUCUUCACAUACAAGUCAUUAGUUUGUAUAGCUUUUUCUAGUAAUUGGUUUGUAGGGAGGUUGCAAAGAUGGAGGUAGUGUAAUUAAGGGGCAUGAAUAGUUGUCUUUGCAACAGUGGUUUUAUUUGUAGUUUUUUCAUCUUUCCAUGAGGGGAGUGAUGGUUAGGUUUUGUGUGUGGGCAUUUCUUUGCUUUCAAGAAUGUGGUCAAGCUAGUUCUUUUUCUAACGAAGAUUUGGAGCUGUGUUAAUUGGUUGAGUUGAUUGUUCUUCAUUAGCUUAGUGAAAUUAGGUUGGCUGUUUCUAUUUAGUAUUAGCCCUUUGAUUACUUAUUAUUGUCAACUUUUCAAAUAAGAUAGAUGGUUUGAUUAAUACUGGCAGUGUUGCGCUAUAUUUGUCAUGGCAGCAUGUUUGCAUUGCACAGCAAAAAAAUUGAACUGAUACAUUCAGCAGUGCAUCCUCCUUUCAUUUGAACUUAUCCUUUCUAGUUAUUACUUUCCUCCUGUUGAGUCAUGUUAUUGUUGUUAGGUUUUGAGCCUACGACUGCAAGUAAACUAAACUUUGCUAGUUUGAAGCUUUUGAUUAGUUUACAGUCCUAAAUCAGUCAGCUUAGAAGUUAGGACUGCAGAAGAGUUGAGCGUGGGCUCUUUAAAACCUGCAAGAGAGCCCACCAUUUAAAAUUUGAACGGUUGGUCUACAAGUUCUAGGUG
rnacentral:misc_RNA from 1 species